GAGCGCUAGAUUGGUCUCCGGAGACCGG
rnacentral:sRNA from 1 species